rnacentral:rRNA from 1 species
UACGUAGGGUGCGAGCGUUAAUCGGAAUUACUGGGCGUAAAGGGUGCGCAGGCGGUCUCGUAAGCUGGGUGUGAAAGCCCCGGGCUUAACCUGGGAAUGGCAUUCAGGACUGCGAGGCUUUGAGUGCGGCAGAGGGAGGUGGAAUUCCACGUGUAGCAGUGAAAUGCGUAGAGAUGUGGAGGAACACCGAUGGCGAAGGCAGCCUCCUGGGCCAGCACUGGACGCUCAUGCACGAAAGCGUGGGGAGCAAACAGGA